rnacentral:rRNA from 1 species
UACAGAGGAGCCAAGCGUUGUCCGGAUUUACUGGGCGUAAAGAGCGCGCAGGCGGUCGUGCAAGUCGCGUGUGAAAGCCCCCGGCUCAACUGGGGAGGGUCACGCGAUACUGUUCGACUCGAAGGCAGGAGAGGGAAGUGGAAUUCCCGGUGUAGUGGUGAAAUGCGUAGAUAUCGGGAGGAACACCAGUGGCGAAGGCGACUUCCUGGCCUGUUCUUGACGCUGAGGCGCGAAAGCUAGGGUAGCAAACGGG